UGUAAUUGCAGUGAUGGAGGGGCUCC
rnacentral:piRNA from 1 species